GUGAUCAUUUCAGCAGCACAUACACUAAAAUUGGAACAAUACAGAGAAGAUUAGGAUGGCCCCUGCACAAGGAUGACACACAAAUUUGUGAAGCAUUCCAUAUUAUA
rnacentral:snRNA from 1 species